rnacentral:rRNA from 1 species
ACGUAGGGGGCAAGCGUUAUCCGGAUUUACUGGGUGUAAAGGGAGCGUAGACGGCUGGCCAAGUCUGAAGUGAAAGCCCGGGGCUUAACCCCGGAACGGCUUUGGAAACUGGCCGGCUGGAGUGCUGGAGAGGCAGGCGGAAUUCCUGGUGUAGCGGUGAAAUGCGUAGAUAUCAGGAGGAACACCGGUGGCGAAGGCGGCCUGCUGGACAGUAACUGACGUUGAGGCUCGAAAGCGUGGGGAGCAA